GUACACGCUGUGACUAGCAUAUCAAUAAGCGGAGGAAAAGAAACUAACAAGGAUUCCCCUAGUAACGGCGAGUGAAGCGGGAAGAGCUCAAAUUUGAAAUCUUAAAGGGUUUCCCUUUACGAAUUGUAGUUUAAAGAAGUGUUUUCUGUUGAGGUUUUGGUAAAAGUUCUUUGGAAUAGGACAUCAUAGAGGGUGAGAAUCCCGUAUUUGACCUUUACUUUCAACUUUGUGAUACACUUUCAAAGAGUCGGAUUGUUUGGGAAUGCAGUCCAAAAUGGGUGGUAAAUUUCAUCUAAAGCUAAAUAUUGGCGAGAGACCGAUAGCGAACAAGUACCGUGAGGGAAAGAUGAAAAGAACUUUGAAAAGAGAGUUAAACAGUACGUGAAAUUGUCAAAAGGGAAGCGUUUGACACCAGUGUUGUUUUUCUGAAAAUCAAUUAAAGAACUGUUUAUGCUAAGCUGUUUAGACUUUAUCAGCUAUCUGUUUAGUUUUGAGCUUUUCUUUAAUGCACUUUUCAGUUAACAAGUCAACAUCAAUUUCUUUUGCUGUAAAAAAGCUUGAGGAAGGUGGCUUGAGAUUCGUCUUAAGUGUUUAUAGCCUCUUGCCUAUGCAGUCGGAGAGAUUGAGGUCUGCAGCGUAGAUCCUUCGGGGCUAAAUGCAUUUGUGCUAAGUUAUAGCAUUUUAUAGACAACUUGUUGACUAUGAUUUGUCUUGUAGCUUACUCGCUUAUGUUAUUUUACCUACGCUUAGGAUGUUGAGUCGUAGAGCACGCAG
rnacentral:rRNA from 1 species